GACGUAGGUGACGAACGUUAUCCGGAAUUAUUGGGCGUAAAGGGUGCGUAGCUGGCCUGAUAAGUUAGCAGUGGGAAAUCGAGGCUCAACCUCGUGGAAGCUGGUAAUACUGUCAGGCUCGAGUGCAGGAGAGGUUAACGGAACUCCAUGUGGAGCGGUAAAAUGUGUAGAUAUAUGGAAGAACACCAAUAACGGCGAAGGCAGUUAACUAUUCUGUUACUGACAUUGAGGCACGAAAGCGUGGGGAGCAAAACGG
rnacentral:rRNA from 1 species